UACGUAGGGGGGCGAGCGUUGUCCGGAAUCAUUGGGCGUAAAGAGCGUGUAGGCGGCCUGAUAAGUCGGUUGUGAAAGUCAAGGGCUCAACCCUUGAAUGCCGGUUGAUACUGUCGGGCUAGAGUCCGGAAGAGGGCGGGUGGAAUUCCUGGUGUAGCGGUGGAAUGCGCAGAUAUCGAGGAGGAACACCAACGGCGAAGGCAGCCCGCUGGGACGGUACUGACGCUAAGGCGCGAAAAGCGUGGGGAGCGAACGAGG
rnacentral:rRNA from 1 species